AACACCUGUAACCAUGCCGAACACAGUAGUUAAGCUUCUUCACGCCGAGAGUAGUUGGUGGGAGACUGCCUGCGAGGGUAGGACGUUGCCGUGC
rnacentral:rRNA from 1 species